GCCUGGGGAGGGUGGUCGGGGAAGGCUGCCCCAAGGAGUUAUCAUCUGAGCAAGACCCAAAAUUGUAAGAAGUAGCACGCGGCGCUCCCAGGGAAGAGCAUGCCAGGCUGGAGGCCCUGCGGAGGGGACAAGUUCAGCAGCUUGGAGGACCAGAGAGAAAUCCAGCUCCUGCCUCCUAACUCACACAGCCCUGGUUAUAGCCUUUUGUUAUCACGUUGGGGCAGUUUAGGCCUCAGGAAGCUGAAUCUCAAGACCCUAAUCUGACUGUGGGUCAGAAGAUCCUCAUUCCAGGGUGGGUUCUGCCUCAUCCCCUAGAGGAAGAAAUGCUGCCGAGAAGCUGAGAAGAGUCUGGGCCAGGCGUGGUGGCUCAUGCCUGUAAUCCCAAGACUGGGAGCCCAAGGCGGGCAGAUCACCUGAAGUCAGGAGUUCGAGGCCAGCCUGGCCAACACGGCAAAACCCCAUCUGUACUAAAAAUACAAAAAUUAGUCGGGCAUGGUGGCACGUGCCUGUAAAACCAGCUACUGGGGGUGCUGAGCCAGGAGAAUUGCUUGAACCUGGAAGGCAGAGGUUGCAGUGAGCCGAGAUCACACCACUACACUCCAGCCUGGGUGACAAAGUGAGGCUCCGUCUCAAAAAAAAAAAAAAGAAGAAUCUGGACAGACAAGCCCUGCUGAGUUUACACCACGCCCUGUGUAUCCAGUUGCAUUUCUACAUGGUUGUCAAUCAUUCCUGUCCAACGAUGUCUCCAUCAAAGGCCCAAGAGGACAGGGUUCAGGGACCUUUCAGAGAGCUGACCACGCAGAGGCUCCUGGAGGGGCUGCCCAGGGAGGGCAUGGCAGCUCCACGCCCCUUCCCCGUACCUCGUCUGUGCAUCUCUUCAUGUAUAUUCUUUGCAAUAUCACUUAUAAUAAACCAGGA
rnacentral:lncRNA from 1 species